rnacentral:rRNA from 1 species
AGGAUGAACGCUGGCGGCGUGCCUAACACAUGCAAGUCGAACGUCCUGUCUCGCAAGAGGCAGGGAGUGGCGGACGGGUGAGUACCACGUGGGUCAUCUACCGUGAGGUGAGGAAUACCGGCGAGAAAUCGCCGACAAGACCGCAUAGCCUCGGUGCAAGCCGAGGAAAGCUCUCUCGAGAGAGGGAGCGCCACACGAGGAGCCUGCGCCCGAUUAGCUAGCUGGUGGAGUAACGGUUCACCAGGGCGACGAUCGGUAGCUGGUCUGAGAGGACGAUCAGCCACACUGGGAUUGAGAACGGCCCAGACUCCUACGGGGGGCAGCAGUGAGGAAUUUUCGUCAAUGGGGGCAACCCUGAACGAGCAACGCCGCGUGCAGGAAGAAGGUUUUCGGAUCGUAAACUGCUUUUCUCGGGGAAGAGAACGGACGGUACCCGAGGAAUCAGCCCCGGCUAACUCGUGCCAGCAGCCGCGGUAA